rnacentral:rRNA from 1 species
CCUACGGGGGGCAGCAGUAGGGAAUCUUCCACAAUGGGCGAAAGCCUGAUGGAGCAAUGCCGCGUGAGUGAAGAAGGUUUUCGGAUCGUAAAACUCUGUUGUUGAAGAAGAACAUGCGUGAGAGUAACUGUUCACGUACUGACGGUAUUCAACCAGAAAGCCACGGCUAACUACGUGCCAGCAGCCGCGGUAAUACGUAGGUGGCAAGCGUUGUCCGGAUUUAUUGGGCGUAAAGCGAGCGCAGGCGGUUUUUUAAGUCU